GACGAACGCUGGCGGCGUGCUUAACACAUGCAAGUCGAACGGAAAGGCCCUGCUUUUGUGGGGUGCUCGAGUGGCGAACGGGUGAGUAACACGUGAGUAACCUGCCCUUGACUUUGGGAUAACUUCAGGAAACUGGGGCUAAUACCGGAUAGGAGCUCCUGCUGCAUGGUGGGGGUUGGAAAGUUUCGGCGGUUGGGGAUGGACUCGCGGCUUAUCAGCUUGUUGGUGGGGUAGUGGCUUACCAAGGCUUUGACGGGUAGCCGGCCUGAGAGGGUGACCGGCCACAUGGGGACUGAGAGAGGGCGCAGACGCGAGGGGGGGGAAAGGGGGGGAAUUGUGACAGAGGGGGGGGGAGCGGGAGGCAGAAGCGGGGGGGGCGGGAUGAGGGCCUGGGGGUGAAAAACAGAUGUCGCAGGAAACAAGGGGGGGGGGAGGGUAAGGGAUAAGAAAGCCCCGGCUAGGUACGUG
rnacentral:rRNA from 1 species